GACGAACGCUGGCGGCAUGCCUAAUACAUGCAAGUUGAGCGAUGAAGAUUGGUGCUUGCACCAAUUUGAAGAGCAGCGAACGGGUGAGUAACGCGUGGGGAAUCUGCCUUUGAGCGGGGGACAACAUUUGGAAACGAAUGCUAAUACCGCAUAACAACUUUAAACAUAAGUUUUAAGUUUGAAAGAUGCAAUUGCAUCACUCAAAGAUGAUCCCGCGUUGUAUUAGCUAGUUGGUGAGGUAAAGGCUCACCAAGGCGAUGAUACAUAGCCGACCUGAGAGGGUGAUCGGCCACAUUGGGACUGAGACACGGCCCAAACUCCUACGGGAGGCAGCAGUAGGGAAUCUUCGGCAAUGGACGAAAGUCUGACCGAGCAACGCCGCGUGAGUGAAGAAGGUUUUCGGAUCGUAAAACUCUGUUGGUAGAGAAGAACGUUGGUGAGAGUGGAAAGCUCAUCAAGUGACGGUAACUACCCAGAAAGGGACGGCUAACUACGU
rnacentral:rRNA from 1 species